rnacentral:rRNA from 1 species
CGAAAAGUACUAUCAAUUAAAUAAAAUGGUAGAAACAAAAGAAUAGCGAAGAAGAAGCAAAUGCGCUUCACGCUAAUUCCAAGUACCAACACAAAACAAAUUCAAUGUUUGGUGAAGCAACUUGCUUAGUGGCGGACGGGUGAGUAACGCGUGAACAAUCUGCCCCGUACAAAGGGAUAGCCUCGGGAAACCGGGAUUAAAACCAUAUAACACUUAACUGCCGCAUGGUAGUGAAGUCAAAUCGAGUAAGAGGUAUGGGAUGAGUUCGCGUCUGAUUAGCUAGUUGGUGAGGUAAGGGCUCACCAAGGCGACGAUCAGUAGCCGGCCUGAGAGGGUGAACGGCCACACUGGAACUGAGACACGGUCCAGACUCCUACGGGAGGCAGCAGUGGGGAAUAUUGCACAAUGGAGGGAACUCUGAUGCAGCGACGCCGCGUGAGUGAAGAAGGUCUUCGGAUCGUAAAACUCUGUCCUUGGUGAAGAAAAGGACGGUAGCCAAGGAGGAAGCCCCGGCUAACUACGUG